CCUACGGGAGGCAGCAGUGAGGAAUAUUGGUCAAUGGACGAAAGUCUGAACCAGCCAUGCAGCGUGCAGGAAGACGGCCCUAUGAGUUGUAAACUGCUUUUGUACAAGGGUAAACCUGAACACGUGUAUUCAGCUGAAAGUACUUUACGAAUAAGGAUCGGCUAACUCCGUGCCAGCAGCCGCGGUAAUACGGAGGAUCCGAGCGUUAUCCGGAUUUAUUGGGUUUAAAGGGUGCGUAGGCGGAUUGAUAAGUUAGUGGUGAAAGUUUGGGGCUUAACCGGGGAAUUGCAAUUAAUACUGGUGAUCUAGAGAGUAGAUGCGGUAGGCGGAAUGCAUGGUGUAGCGGUGAAAUGCUUAGAGAUCACACAGAACCCCGAUUGCGAAGGCAGCUUACCAAUCUAUAUCUGACAUUGAGGCACGAAAGCGUGGGGAGCAAACAGGAUUAGAUACCCGAGUAGUC
rnacentral:rRNA from 1 species